GGGCAUGGUAUGAUGAAACAUGAC
rnacentral:misc_RNA from 1 species